AGUGAAUCUAGUUUGAAGGCGGGUGGUAAUUGUCAUAUGCGAUUGGGGAGAGACAGAAAGAUGAUUACAACAGAUGCAACAGUGCCAAAGGGCUUUCAGGUUCCCUUCCCUGAUCUCUCAUCCUCAUUAACGGUUGAAAGAAUUACUCAUUUCAUGGACUGAAAGACCUUUCAGUAAAAGAGAACAGGAGCUGAUGAACAUUCAAGAUCAGUCAACAAAAAUGGACAACACUAUCAUAACCACAACAUUAUGUGGGGGUGCAAGCGACUUGAGAUAUUAACAUUAUGCAAAUGAGCAGUGAUGCGAUGCGGUGACUACCAAUAGGAUUGCAGAUGCUGGAGCUGAUGUGAUCCUUCUCCUGUGAGAUACGGCAGUCGAGCAUCAGCCAGAUGGAGAAGUUCAUGUCCCUGUUUUCAAAAGCUUUGUCCAGUUGCUCAUCCAGCAGCAAGAACGCCUACAGCCCAGCGACCUGCGACCUCCAGCGAUAAAACUGCUGUCAGAGAGAACGCCGCUUAAACUUGUGUUACAGAGAACGGAAGACCUCUCCAACAUUGUGUUGUUACUCAGAAGGCAAUGCCUCGCCAUCAAACUCUCUCGUCACCUCAUCUCCUCCUGGAAUGGCUUACCUUCUGACACAAAGCACCGUCAGGGCAGAGCAUGAAUGACUCUGGAGCACUGAAAGAAAAGCCAAUGACACCCUGUCUUCAAAACAAAGGACGUGAUUUCAGCGGUUGCAUCAUUUUGGACUCUGACGGCACCCAUUCACUGUAUUGGUGAACAAGUGAUGGAAUGCUACAUUUCUCCCAACCUGUUCUGAUGAAGAAACAAACUUAUCUACAUCUUGGAUGGCCU